AUUGAACGCUGGCGGCAUGCCUUACACAUGCAAGUCGAACGGCAGCACGGGUGCUUGCACCUGGUGGCGAGUGGCGAACGGGUGAGUAAUAUAUCGGAACGUACCUUAUUGUGGGGGAUAACGCAGCGAAAGCUGUGCUAAUACCGCAUAAUCCCUUAGGGGGAAAGCGGGGGACCGUAAGGCCUCGCGCAAUUAGAGCGGCCGAUACCUGAUUAGCUAGUUGGUGGGGUAAAGGCCUACCAAGGCUACGAUCUGUAGUUGGUCUGAGAGGACGACCAGCCACACUGGGACUGAGACACGGCCCAGACUCCUACGGGAGGCAGCAGUGGGGAAUUUUGGACAAUGGGCGCAAGCCUGAUCCAGCAAUGCCGCGUGCAGGAAGAAGGCC
rnacentral:rRNA from 1 species